GGGCACUUGGCACAGUGGUAGCGCGCACGCUUCGCAAUUGAGAUUGCGUGAGGUCGGGAGUUCAAUCCUCCCAGUGUCCA
rfam:Fibulorhizoctonia sp. CBS 109695 unplaced genomic scaffold FIBSPscaffold_111, whole genome shotgun sequence.